CUGCACGAGCUUUUCAAGUGUUUCAUGGUACACUCUACUAGAAGACAUGAAGUUGCCAGUACACUGAGGUACGUCCUGUCGAAAGGGAUGCGAAAGACCAUUGGGCAGCGAUGAGGACCCGUUUCUUUACUUUCCUCACAUACUACAUUAUCGUUCGCUUUGUACCGUGCGAUGGUAAGAGAGCUGCAUCAGGCCAACGCUGCUUAGCGAUGCCAACAGAGGAUGAGGAUUGUCAAAGUCCAAUCAGUAAAUGGUUUUAUAGUAAAAUUGAACGACGUUGUGUGAACUUUAUGUAUGGAGAUUGUCCAGUGGAAGGCAAUAUUUUUAACAGCAAGGAGGAAUGCGACAAUACUUGCAAAGAUGCAGGAGCUGGACAGCAUCCGGUGAAGCCCGGCGGUGGGCCUGUUAAAGGCCGUCCAGGUCACCAGAGACCGUCGCGGCAACAUGCUUCAAGCGAGGAAAAUGACGGCAGAGGCUCCAGGCAUUCCGGAAGGAAAGAUGAAGGAGUAGGAAAACAUAAGGUGAUGCCCGGCCGCACGAGGGUGAAGGUUCCAGGCGUCCCGGAAGAAAAGGAUCAGAAGAAGACACCAAUACCGUCAGGGUGCCUCCUAGAGGACACGGGGGCAACCGCCAGCCACACAGGCCGAGCAGACCGCACAGGCCCAGACCGCCCGUGCCGAAACCACAUAGACCCGCCGGAGGAGUAAAACAUCGGCCACGCCCACCUCUGCCACAUCCGGGAAAAGGAAGCUGUGGAGCGAGACCAAAAAGAGGGAACUGCGACGAAAAUGCUGACUUGUGGUUUAAUAAUGGAAACUUCAUGACUUGCUCUCGAGUGCCAGCAGGAAGGUGCCCGACUGUCGGAUCCUUCUUCGAAAGCUGUGAGGACUGCAUGCAGAAAUGCCGCCCACACCAGCUCCGCCAGUGCCAGUUCAAGACCUGAUCAUGCGCUACAAUACCAUAAGAGAGAUGGAGGCGGUGCCCUGCUGCGCAGUUUGUUGCAUUCUGUGGAACGUUAAAAAACGAAGUUUGGAAUAAAGGCCAUAUUAUGAACAAAGUUGGAACGUCAUGGUAUUC